ACGAGUUAGGGUCUUUCGUGGCCCGACCUCCCAACCCUUUGUUUAACACACCUUUGUUGCUUCGGCGGGCCCGCCUCUAGGGGCCGCCGGGGGACCGUGAAACGUCCCUCGGCCCGCUGCCCGCCGAUGGCCUACUUAUUUAAAUUCUUGAACAAACCAUGUCUUUUGUCUGAGUAAAAACAUAAAUUAAAGCA
rnacentral:misc_RNA from 1 species